UACGGAGGGGGCGAGCGUUAUUCGGAAUUAUUGGGCGUAAAGGGCGCGUAGGCGGCUUCAUAAGUCAAAGGUGAAAUCCCUCGGCUCAACUGAGGAACUGCCUUUGAAACUGUGGAGCUUGAGGCCGGGAGGGGGUAGCGGAAUUCCCAGUGUAGCGGUGAAAUGCGUAGAUAUUGGGAGGAACACCAGUGGCGAAGGCGGCCUGCUGGGCUGUUGCUGACGCUGAGGCGCGACAGCGUGGGGAGCAAACAGG
rnacentral:rRNA from 1 species